CAAAGGUAGCAUAAUCAUUAGAGGCUUAAUUGGAAUCUAGAAUGAAGGGUCGGACAAAGAGAAAAGCUGUCUCUAUAAUAACUAUUGAAAUUUACUUUUAAGUGAAAAGGCUUAAAUAAAUCAAAGGGACGAUAAGACCCUAUAAAGCUUUAAUAUGUUGAUUAAAAUUAGUUGAUUUAUAUUAUAAAAAUUAAAUGUAAUCGUUUUAUUUUGUUGGGGUGAUGUGAGUAUAAUUAAAGAUAACUGCUUAAAAGUAAUACUGAAUAUAAUAGAAUUUAAAGUAUGAUCCUUCUUAAAGAUUAAAAGAUUAAGUUACUUUAGGGAUAACAGCGUUAUUUUUUUUGAGAGUUCAUAUCGAAAAAAAAGAUUGCGACCUCGAUGUUGAAUUAAAUUAUCUAUAUAAAGCAGUCUUUAUAAGAGAGGUCUGUUCGACCUUUAAAUUUUUACAUGAUUUGAG
rnacentral:rRNA from 1 species